GUGGUAAUGCCGGAUGCUCCAUCACACCGCAUGGUGUGUUGGGAAAGCCUUUGCGGCAUGGGAUGGGGUCGCGUCCUAUCAGCUUGAUGGCGGGGUAACGGCCCACCAUGGCUUCGACGGGUAGCCGGCCUGAGAGGGCGACCGGCCACAUUGGGACUGAGAUACGGCCCAGACUCCUACGGGAGGCAGCAGUGGGGAAUAUUGCACAAUGGGCGCAAGCCUGAUGCAGCGACGCCGCGUGAGGGAUGGAGGCCUUCGGGUUGUAAACCUCUUUUGUUAGGGAGCAAGGCACUUUGUGUUGAGUGUACCUUUCGAAUAAGCACCGGCUAACUACGUGCCAGCAGCCGCGGUAAUACGUAGGGUGCAAGCGUUAUCCGGAAUUAUUGGGCGUAAAGGGCUCGUAGGCGGUUCGUCGCGUCCGGUGUGAAAGUCCAUCGCUUAACGGUGGAUCCGCGCCGGGUACGGGCGGGCUUGAGUGCGGUAGGGGAGACUGGAAUUCCCGGUGUAACGGUGGAAUGUGUAGAUAUCGGAAAAAAACACCA
rnacentral:rRNA from 1 species